rnacentral:SRP_RNA from 2 species
GGCGGAAGUCAUUCGACAUGCUCCUUGUAACCCCCCCAGGGCAGAAAUGCAGCAAGGGUAUCGAGUUGAGCGGUUGGUUUGACUUCCUUUUUU